UACGUAGGGGCAAGCGUUGUCCGGAUUCAUUGGGCGUAAAGAGCGUGUAGGCGGCCAGGUAGGUCGGUUGUGAAAACUGGAGGCUCAACCUUCAGAGGUCGACCGAAACCAUCUGGCUAGAGUCCGGGAGAGGAGAGUGGAAUUCCGUGGUGUAGCGGUGAAAUGCGCAGAUAUCGGGAGGAACACCAAUGGCGAAGGCAGCUCGCUGGGACGUUACUGACGCUGAGACGCGAAAGCGUGGGAGCAACAGG
rnacentral:rRNA from 1 species